UUUUUUUUUUUUUUUUUUUUUUUUUUUAAUGUCUCUUUCACCUCCCUACCCUUGUUUGGAAGAGAUUCUGGAGCAUUCUGUCAGGCGUUGUGGGAAAGCCGUUCCUUCAGGAGCUAGGUCUGAGUUCAUCUACCCAAGUGCUUUCUGAACAGUCUGUGAACACUGUUGGGCAGGUCAGGUAGCAGACGGCUCGCCCCUCUAUGAGACAGCAUAAUUUCCCUUAUUAAAACUGAGUUCUGCCUCCCUGCCAUGCUUGGACCAACUCCGUGGAUCUUUCUGGAAUGAAUGUAGCUUCAUUUUCUAUGUCACAGCCCUUGAAAUGUGGGGGAGUAAACAUGGUAGGCCCAGCAGAUAUUUUCAUUCUUUGGUUUCCAUUUGCGACAGAGUAGCUGAUUUUUCCACAGCGGUAAAUCCCUCAGGAUGGGGAGAUCAAAGCCAGGAUAGGGCUAUUGUCUUGGUGCCUGGACUCUGUCACCAGCAUUCUUGGGGUGCAAGGAAGCUGUAUGGUGUACCCACAAUGGAACACAGGUAGAGGUGUACAGGUGAUAGAAGAGGUGGGCUUCUGGAAAUCCCAGGGGUCCAUCCGUCUGGAGUGUGGCAUGUCUGGGAACCAUGCUCUGGCUGGCUGCCUGGGACAAGCCUGAACUGCACGUUGGGGUCUUAUUCACGGUUUCCUCUGCUCGCAAAGGAUCCCUUGAACAGUUCUCACAGCCUGACCCCAGCGUCCCUGGGAAUACCAACUGACAGCUGCAAGGAGUGAAGCCACAGCAGCCCUGUCGGGUGCCAGCUGGACGUGCCUGGCCGCCACCCGGGGAUGUCAGAGCAGAGCUGCAGGCCACCCUUCCGCCAGCAGGAAGCCCAGCCGCAAACACUUGGACAGGAAGCCUGUGUGCUGGCCAGCUGAGCCAGCUCUGGUUUCUCUUGUGUCUGAGGGUUUGGCCUCUGAGUAGAGGAAAGCGAGCCAGGUGCUGCGGGCUGUGCUGACGCUGACUGGGUCAGGAUUCGCCCCCCCGCCCCCCGCCCCCAAGAGCUUGGGUUGUGGGUUCAAGGGUGUAAGCCGAAAAGCAUCCUCCAAGCUGAGGCAGAAGGGGUGUUUCUUGGAGGAAGGGCGAGGGAGCAGGGAACGAGGUGUUUACCAGGACUGGGCCAGCUGGCUGAGGAUAUGCUGUGAACCCUUUGUGCUGGCUCCAGGGAAGAUGGGGUUGGUGGUUCAGUCCUGCAAACCCAGGCUGGUUCCCACUUCCCAGCUGCAUCUGCCUCUGCCUCUGGGAGCUACACUGCUCUCUGUCUCAGAAGGCUUCGAUGUCCACAUAUUCCUGGCUGUCAGGGGGACUCCUCAAGGGUCUCAAGUUGUGCUGUGAGAGAAUUACUGAAAACUGAACGUGCUCGGCCAGGGACAGAGACGAUUUACACGCAGGGCUGCCUAUAUACGUAAAUCUCUUGAAAGCGGUCAGUGUAUACUUCCAUGUAACUGUCAUGAAGGCAUCUCGGAUCAUAGAACACUUAGGCUUUUCACAAGUCCCCUCACAGCCUGAUUGUCCAGGAAGAGAUGUCUGGUGUCAGGUACCCAGGUAAGCAGAGUGACUCAAGGCCACACAAACUGAGCAGCGGCAGAACCUGGGUGACCACAGUGACUUCUGUCACUCUAGAAAGAGAACGGAGAGGUUUCUUUUCAAAAUAUAUGAGCAUCUAUCUGUCUGAGCAUGCUCACCUGCGGGAUGUGCUUUGGGCUGGCAACCGCUGCUUGCUGUCAUCCCAAGGGAGACACUCUUUGUGGCUUUAGUCACUUCAGGUUCCCUCACAGUUUUCCUUUGCAGUUUGAACAAUCCAGUUUUGAGUCUACUUUAUGGCCUCUUUGCUUCUGACUUUAGACCAGGGCUCGGCAACGUUUUCUACCAAGCCUACCUGGUAACCAUGCUAAGCUUUGUGGGACAUAUGUUAUUGGUGGCCAUGACUCAAUUUUUGCUGUGGGAGUGUAAAAUUAGCUAUAGACAAUGCAUAUCUGUGUCCCAAUGAAACUUUAAUCCACCAAACAGGCAGUGGACCAGAAUUGGCCCACCAGAUAAUUAUUUGUUGGCUUCAAGUCAAAACUGUUUUGUUUUUGUUUUUGUUUUGUUUUGUUUUUUGAGAUAAGAGUCUCCGUAGCCCAGGCUACCCUUGAAUUUACUAUGUACUUAAGAGUCAGAAUGAAUCUAACAACUGAAUAAACGGAUGAAUUAGUUUUGCAGUAAGAUCAUUUUAGGUACCACCCCCUGUACUUCAUUCUGAUCCCCAUGUGGGGACAGUGUGAUGUGACUCAGUGCUAUCACCCUGAAGGAAUAUAUAAGCUGUUUUGAACUCCAGCAUGCAACUCAUCUUUCUCAUCUUUGUUCCCUUGUGAAAUGUGGGGUGACUCCAGCUGCAGGGGAUUGCAGCAGAAUGACAAAUAUAUGUAAAGUUUGGGGUUCAGUGACAAGGGUGGGAGAAAUGACAAGAAUUGUUCCCCUCAAUGCUACUGGAAGUCACCCACUGUGUCCUAACAGUGAGGUUGCGAUACUGCCUGUGUUCUAUUGUCCUGGGCACAGGGAGAGGUCACUCACUGUGCGGUACGCCUUAGCCUGGGAAACUGGGCUCACAGAAGCUUGCAGAGAGGGCUCCUGUGUGGCAUCCCAACUCACUCUAUCCAAAAUGACCUUUUCAUAGCUGCCCCUUCUUCUUUCUCCAUCUCUCUAGACCCCAAGCUGGAAACCCUCCUGACCCAUCUCCUCUGCUCCAUGUCCUGCCUGGUUGGGGGGGGGGGGGGUCAUCAGCUUUCUUGAAUUUGCUGUCUGGCUUUUAAUAGGUUUAUUGAGACCCAAUUCACCAAGUAUGUAACUGACCGGUUUUGAUUAUAAUUCAAAGGUGUUCACAUGUUGUAUAAUCAUUGCUACAAUGGUUUUGAGCAUUUCUGUUGCCCCUAAGAACAGAAGCCUAGAGGCAUUUCAGUUUCCACACUUCUUCCUAGUACUGAGCUACUGCUGGGCUAGCUUGCUAUACAUCUGCCAUUAGAGACCUGUCAUGCAAAUUGAUCCAACUAAGCUAUACAUGGUCUUUGGGGUCGAGUGUCUUUCACUGGACCUAAUAUUUUAAAGGCUCGUCCAUUUUGCCUCCCUUAUCAAAACUUUCACUCUCUUUUAAAGGGCUGAAUAGUAUUCCAUGGUAUAGAUUUAUGAUGUUGUAUUUAUCCAUCCAUAAACUGUAAAUUGUUAUUCACCUUUCAAAGAAGAAGAAGAAUAAAAGCAAGGAGGUGCUCAAGGAAUGGCAGCUCCCAUGAGAUUUGCUAG
rnacentral:lncRNA from 1 species